UACGUAGGGUGCGAGCGUUGUCCGGAAUUAUUGGGCGUAAAGGGCUCGUAGGCGGUCUGUCGCGUCGGGAGUGAAAACUCAGGGCUUAACCCUGAGCCUGCUUCCGAUACGGGCAGACUAGAGGUAUGCAGGGGAGAACGGAAUUCCUGGUGUAGCGGUGAAAUGCGCAGAUAUCAGGAAGAACACCAAUGGCGAAAGCAGCUCUCUGGGACGGUACUGACGCUGAGACGCGAAAGCGUGGGGAGCGAACAGG
rnacentral:rRNA from 1 species